UACGUAGGGUGCAAGCGUUUGUCCGGAAUUAUUGGGCGUAAAGAGCUCGUAGGCGGUUUGUCGCGUCUGCUGUGAAAUCUGGAGGCUCAACCUCCAGCCUGCAGUGGGUACGGGCAGACUAGAGUGCGGUAGGGGAGAUUGGAACUCCUGGUGUAGCGGUGGAAUGCGCAGAUAUCAGGAAGAACACCGAUGGCGAAGGCAGAUCUCUGGGCCGUAACUGACGACUGGAG
rnacentral:rRNA from 1 species